rnacentral:rRNA from 1 species
UUCCGGUUGAUCCCGCCGGACCCGACUGCUAUUUGGGUGAGGAUAAGCCAUGCGAGUUGAAUGGGAAACCUAAAAAUCCCAUGGCAAACUGCUCAGUAACACAUGAUCAACUUACCCUAUAGAGGAAAAUAACCUCGGGAAACUGAGGAUAAUGUUCCAUAGUUGAAUCGGCUUGGAAAAGUUUUUCAAUAAAAGGGAUAAGGAAAAUGGUUCUUAUCUGCUAUAGGAUAGGAUCGUGCUCGAUUAUGGUUGUUGGUGAGGUAAAGGCUCACCAAGCCGAUAAUCGAUAGGGGCCGUGAGAGCGGGAGCCCCGAGAUGGGUACUGAGACAACGACCCAGGCCUUACGAGGCGCAGCAGGCGCGAAACCUCCGCAAUACACGAAAGUGUGACGGGGUUACCCAAAGUGUUCUAUUUAGAACUGUGGUAGGUGAGUAAUGUCCCCUACUAGAAAGGAGAGGGCAAGGCUGGUGCCAGCCGCCGCGGUAAAACCAGCUCUUCAAGUGGUCGGGAUAAUUAUUGGGCUUAAAGUGUCCGUAGCCGGUUUAGUAAGUUCCUGGUAAAAUCGGGUAGCUUAACUAUCUAUAUGCUAGGAAUACUGCUAUACUAGAGGGCGGGAGAGGUCUGAGGUACUACAGGGGUAGGGGUGAAAUCUUAUAAUCCUUGUAGGACCACCAGUGGCGAAGGCGUCAGACUGGAACGCGCCUGACAGUGAGGGACGAAAGCCAGGGGAGCGAACCGGAUUAGAUACCCGGGUAGUCCUGGCCGUAAACGAUGCAUACUAGGUGAUGGCACGGCCAUGAGCCGUGUCAGUGCCGUAGGGAAACCGUUAAGUGUGCCGCCUGGGAAGUACGGUCGCAAGGCUAAAACUUAAAGGAAUUGGCGGGGGAGCACCACAAGGGGUGAAGCCUGCGGUUCAAUUGGAUUCAACGCCGGAAA